UCAUGGCACACAUACUGCUUUUUGCUCAUCAUAACAGAUGUGUUCCAGCAAUGCUUCUCCACAGGGUGCCUUAUCCCAGCGGUGGUCCAAAUGUGUAGAACUGGGGUACUCCGCAGAAAGAGAAGGGGUGUUUCUGGGCCCCAUUCCUUCUUCAUUAAGGUCUUGGCAGCCUUAGGACUUCAGCACUAGGUCUGUGUGAACAGUCUGCUCUACUUGGUUAUGAAUCUGUUCUCUUCUUUCUUCUGCAACCCUAUACAGAGUCUACAUUAAUCGUGAACUUGGUGGGGGGUGGGGAGGUGUGAGUUCAUUGCAAACUAUUGUAAAAAGGAUCACCAUGGUCAUUAAAUAAGGUGCAUGGCGGCUGCAGGGCGAUGGAGCUACACCGCUGGCCCGUCAGGAAGGCGCCAAAGUCCUCUGAGAAUGCUGCUGCCACUAAAAUGCAGCUCUAUUCAGAGACAUUUUCCAGUCAUUUCCAAGGAAAAUCCCUUUACUUAUAUUUCCUUUAACACUAUAUUUAGCUUCAGUACUGGUCACAUCUAUUCAACUGGCAUCAAAAUAUUUAUUGUUUCCAAAACUCAAAGCCUUCCCACAGUUUGACAAUCUCAUUCCCUCAGGAUAUUCCAAAGCACGCCACACCCUCGGAAGAGAAUUUUUGAAAGAUGAAUUCCAAGAACGUUUUGAACAAAAGGACAGUUGGGUUGGAAGCAUGGUCUACCAGGGAAUCACUGGGCCAUUGGCCAAGCAGGGUGGAGGUGUUUCAGUCCAGCUCCUGUGUUUGUGUUUUGAAAAAACAUUCUACUCUGUACAACGUACACCAGGGUGAGUGAGGAGCCGUGGAUAAGAGCCAGUGCCUGGAGGGCAGCCAGGCUGUGUCCACUCUCUCUCGGAUCACGAGCGCAGCUGUGACUGGACACGUGUGACUUUCUCUAACCUGCCCCGGACAUGGGCCAUUACAGAUAGAUUCAGAAUCUCCAUCUAAAUACCUGGAUCUUCCCCACUGUCCUUAAAUGAAGUAAAAAAUAGAUCCCCACCCCCCACCCGAAGGUCCCAGGAAAAUGUCCAGUAGCCUUCUGGGGGGAAGCCUACCUUUGGCUGUUGUUAUAAAAUCAGCACAUGCCUUCUGAGAGCAUGAACGCAGUCAGUCUGACUCCAGGAGGAACAAACCCAGUGAACCUGAGACUUCGUACAACCGCUUCCUCUUUGUGUUUCCCUCUGGCAGGUUUUCACGGGAACCUGUUUGUUUGUUGAGGGUGGAUCUUUGUGAUCAUAGUUAAUUGAAAAGAAUAAGGAGGAGGAAGAGGUGGUUAAAUAGGGCAGGAAAGGUUUCAUUGACAAAUGCAGACCCCCGCGCAGUCAGGGCAGGCUGUCUCGUUCUGAACACAGAACAAUUCUAUGGAGAAGGAGGGCAACCUAUCCGUACCUUGACUGUAGAAGGCAACUGAGACGCAACAUCUCAAGGGCUUGCCCAAGAUCCCGAGACUGAGUGGGCAGGGCUGGAGGUUGGAACCAGGGUGUCUCCCUCCAAAGCCCCACGGGCUCUGUUCUCUGAGGCAGAGGGUUAUCCGGCUCUGUCAAGAGGAAUUUCCUAAGUGAUUCUGGUCUGCACACAGAUGCACUAUGUCAGGUCAGUGACGUGUCUUGCUUUUAAAACAAAACAAUAUCCCUCACAGUUGUCCUCUUGUGCGUAGAUGGUGGCAAUUUAUUGUUUGCCAAGCCUUCUAUCUCCUCCUUUCUGUGUUCCAUUGAGAUCAUGGAAAUGCAAAGUAAAUAGCCAUGGAGUAAAAUGCCUCAGAGAGUAUUUAUUUAAGAGUAUUGUUCCAGGAUAUGCACGGAGAUAAAGACUUUGUGUAAUGAAUGAGUGGCUCCCGAGGCCAAAUACCAAGCAAUCAUUUUCUGUGCCCUGCAUGUCCUGGCCAGAGGAGAUCAACUACCUCUCCCUCAGGACGUGCCCUUAAAGAGGGUCACCUUGCCAAGGUAAAGCCGGGCCUCUGAAUCCACAGGAGCAGGCAGGAGCUCAAGAAAAGGAGCUUAGAAAAACCCCCUGGGCACUGUCAGUUUGUCAAAUGUCAAGGGGCAAAGCAGACAAAGUAAAAUUAGUUCAAGAUCGAGCAACGGGGAGACCCAGCAUGGCUGCUGAGCCAGCAUGCAGAGCGUCAGGCGGGAGGGAAAGGCCUGCCUGGAAAGGGCAGCAAGGGGCAGCCAGGCAAGUCCUGCCACUGGACAACGGGCAGCAGUGAGCUUGCUCCUCCUCUCGUUCUUCAAGGGCCCAAGGAAGGGAUAGCAGGGCUUGCUCUUCAUGCCAUGCAACCUCUCCGAGAGGUCAGGGAGUGCUGCUGUUCAUGGUCUGGUGGAAUCGGUCUCCAUGCUCCCCUGUCCUCCGCAAAUGCAAGCCAACGCACACACAGACAGAACACUGAGAGCCUCGUUUGGAAUGAAAUACAAAGCAGGAAGCACACAAAUGUCUCUGCAUAUUUAAUGAUUAUUGACUUUUUAAAUUGGUUUGAAAAUAAAAGCUUUCUGGAUGAAAUACAGAUUUAGAAGGAUUACUAAAAAGUACAGCUCGUGUACCACACUUACUUUACAUGAAUUCCUCGCCUUUAUGCAUUAAGCCCUACUAUUCCCCUAAUUUCCCAUAAACAUAUAUCUGCAGUGCAAAUUGUCUUACUACUGAAAAUGCCAUCGAUGCAUUCUAAUGGUAUAAUGAGCAGAUUUUUCAUAAACAGACCUAUGUAUUCACAAUUGCAUACGGAAUGGGCUGGAAGGUGCUCAUGAAGAAAACACAACUGGGCAAGGUGCUGUCUUCUCCAGGGACCCAGGCUCAUUAUUUUACAUAAUAAGAAGGUAAAGAAUUGAGUUUUAUUGAUAUGGGAACACAUUUCAUUGUUCCUCUGAUUUAAAAUCUUCACCAAGUGAUUAGAACCCCCUUUUCAUUAAAGCGGGAUUACUGACCCUGCUUCAUUAUCAGUGUCCUGAUUCGCCCUGAGAAUCACUUUCCAUAUAGCUUCUUGUUACUUAAUUAUUACAGUGGGUAGUGAACAUAGAACUUACAUGGAUCUCUUGCUUUGUAAAAAUACACAGAAAGCAUGGUCUUUAUGUAUGGGGUGAGGAUAUAACAAAAGACUGUCUUCUUCUUUUUAAUUAGAUGGCCUUAGUGGGAGAAACCUUGAGAGCUCACAUAUGACUUUAGAGAUUUUUCAUUAGUCACAUGAUUUUGGUUGUUCAUACAUAUCACACCAGCUCUCAGGUCAGAUGGAUACUAAAGAAAUGCCCAUUGCAUAGAUGGGAAAAUCGAGAGCAUUAGAUCAGUAACUCUCCCACGAAGAGAGACUGUGCAAACUGAAAAACCAUGAGGUUCGGACAUGCUCCUGGCUUCUCAUCGGCUCCUAAACUCAAGUCAAUUAAAACAGUGGCAAAGGGUUGCAAUCAAAGUUUUUAUUAAUAUCACAUAUGGUGUUUUCAACUUCUCCUCUCUUGUUGUGGACCCAAGAAAGCUUUAUUUGUUUCUCUCCUGAGUAUUCUGUCCCACUUGGACGCUUGCCUGCUUCCCACAGAUGAUCCCUCACCUGUUGCCACGGGCGGUGCAGCUGCCAGUGAGCUCUGGUUGCUCCAGGCCACCCCCAAAGCCACAGGCAUGGCUGCCACGGGACCAGAGGGCAUGCCUUCCUUUGACACGCUCUGUCCCUUUUUCUACCUAUACUGGGAAAGGAGCACUUGCUGAUAAGUAAAGCGUCUUCUGUAACUGGACUUGAAGACAUACCACCUCUGUCCAGAGCUCUGAGCAGAUGGAGGUUUGGGAGAGAAGAUGGACACGAACUUUAACCAAAUGGAGCAAAAGACAGAUUCCAAGUAGGCAGCCAGCACAGAGCCGGGCAAAGGCCCUAGUAAAUGAGGGGCCAGGUUUUGCGCCGUUUGGGAGCAUACCAAUAGCUUGGAUAAAUUUAUCAA